UUUCACGAAAUUUGUGGCUCGAAGAUGAUGUUUGGAUUAAGGGAGGAUGUUGGAAUAAUAAUCCAAACUUAGUUAGAGAUAAGUUUAAGUCUUUUAUUUCAUUAUGAUUAGGAUUUGUAAUUAUUCAAAGUAAAAGUUAUAUUUAUCAUCUGUUAUGACUUGAUAGCUAUAUAUAGUUAAGCAUGGAUUACAUAAUCGAUAUCAGCGCAAAUGCCGAUUUCAACAAACUAAGUCA
rnacentral:lncRNA from 1 species